UAGUUUAACCUUCGGGGGGACGCUUACCACUUUGUGGUUCAUGACUGGGGUGAAGUCGUAACAAGGUAGCGCUAGGGGAACCUGGCGCUGGAUCACCUCCUUAAACGAUGAU
rnacentral:rRNA from 6 species